UAGAGUUUGAUCCUGGCUCAGGACGAACGCUGGCGGCGUGCUUAACACAUGCAAGUCGAGCGGUAAGGCCCUUCGGGGUACACGAGCGGCGAACGGGUGAGUAACACGUGGGUGAUCUGCCCUGCACUUCGGGAUAAGCCUGGGAAACUGGGUCUAAUACCGGAUAUGACCUUCGGCUGCAUGGCCGUUGGUGGAAAGGUUUACUGGUGCAGGAUGGGCCCGCGGCCUAUCAGCUUGUUGGUGGGGUAAUGGCCUACCAAGGCGACGACGGGUAGCCGACCUGAGAGGGUGACCGGCCACACUGGGACUGAGACACGGCCCAGACUCCUACGGGAGGCAGCAGUGGGGAAUAUUGCACAAUGGGCGAAAGCCUGAUGCAGCGACGCCGCGUGAGGGAUGACGGCCUUCGGGUUGUAAACCUCUUUCAGCAGGGACGAAGCGAAAGUGACGGUACCUGCAGAAGAAGCACCGGCCAACUACGUGCCAGCAGCCGCGGUAAUACGUAGGGUGCAAGCGUUGUCCGGAAUUACUGGGCGUAAAGAGCUCGUAGGCGGUUUGUCGCGUCGUCUGUGAAAACUCGAGGCUCAACCUCGAGCUUGCAGGCGAUACGGGCAGACUUGAGUACUGCAGGGGAGACUGGAAUUCCUGGUGUAGCGGUGAAAUGCGCAGAUAUCAGGAGGAACACCGGUGGCGAAGGCGGGUCUCUGGGCAGUAACUGACGCUGAGGAGCGAAAGCGUGGGUAGCGAACAGGAUUAGAUACCCUGGUAGUCCACGCCGUAACGGUGGGCGCUAGGUGUGGGUUUCCUUCCACGGGAUCCGUGCCGUAGCUAACGCAUUAAGCGCCCCGCCUGGGGAGUACGGCCGCAAGGCUAAAACUCAAAGGGAUUUGACGGGGGCCCGCACAAGCGGCGGAGCAUGUGGAUUAAUUCGAUG
rnacentral:rRNA from 1 species